CACGUCCUGCAGCACUAUCACAAUAAAGUAGAUCCGAUUGCCUUUGUGAAUUUGCAACAGAAUGUGGAGCAAAGAAUCCAAAGGCACUUUCAUCGACAAAACUUCACAAAAACAUAGAAACACUGUUCAAGUUCUGAACCUCAAUUAUACAGAAUUGGAUCAGCUGGCUGACUUUUUAGGGUAUGAUGUUAGGGUACAUAGACAAUAUUACCGACUUCCUGAGGGCGCUCUCCAGCUGGCUAAGAUGAGCGAGAUUUUGAUGGCAUUAGAGACUGAAAGACUUGGGGAGUUCAGUGGAAAAAACCUGGAUGAAAUUGACUGACUCAAAUGGUGUUAAGAAAAAAAGGAGGUUAAGAAAAAAACAAGGGAGACCAGUGAAGUAAACGAAGUUGAAAAGCAUCUGUCCAGGUUCAUCAAAACUUGCACAGUACCAGGAAAAAGCCAUUGUGAGGCUUGCAUACAAGCUGAACCUGUUGCAUUGAAAGACUGGGAUUGGUUGUCUAAGUUCUUUAUAAACAACUGCUCUCAAAAGGAAGAUGUAAUUCAGAAAAUAUUUGCAUGGUUUUAUUUUGUUUUAUACACACACAUCGGUGGCAAUUUUUUUUUUAUAAAAUGACCAUUAAUUUAAUUUUAUUGUACCACUAUAAUGUACAUUUAACAUUUUUUAUGUGACUGAAACUUUUAAGUUUUAAUAAUUGCACUGAAACGGAAGUACUUAUGAUAUGUGGAAAAAUACUGCAUUGCUAAUGGCAACAACUGUUAAAAAUAAGAAAUAAAUAAGGACUGUUGUUGUU